CGCGCUGCAGCUGAUGACAGCACUGCUGCUGAGCCUCUGAUUGCUUAGUUUCAAAGGACACGCCCCGAUGGACCGUGG
rnacentral:snoRNA from 1 species